UUGUCCUGUGACUGCGUACCUUUUGUAUAAUGGGUCAGCGACUUAUAUUCAGUGGCAAGGUUAACCAUCUAGGGGAGCCGUAGGGAAACCGAGUCUUAACUGGGCGUUCAGUCUCUGGAUAUAGACCCGAAACCAGGUGAUCUAGCCAUGGGCAGGUUGAAGGUUGAGUAACAUCAACUGGAGGACCGAACCGACUAAUGUUGAAAAAUUAGCGGAUGACUUGUGGCUAGGGGUGAAAGGCCAAUCAAACCUGGAGAUAGCUGGUUCUCCCCGAAAGCUAUUUAGGUAGCGCCUCGGACGAAUACUACUGGGGGUAGAGCACUGUUAAGGCUAGGGGGUCAUCCCGACUUACCAACCCUUUAAGUGGGAAACGAUGUGGGAAGGCUCAGACAGCCAGGAUGUUGGCUUAGAAGCAGCCAUCAUUUAAAGAAAGCGUAAUAGCUCACUGGUCGAGUCGGCCUGCGCGGAAGAUGUAACGGGGCUAAGUAGUAAACCGAAGCUGCGGCAAUAUACUUUUGUAUAUUGGGUAGGGGAGCGUUCUGUAAGCGGUUGAAGGUGUGUGGUAACGCAUGCUGGACGUAUCAGAAGUGCGAAUGCUGACAUGAGUAACGAUAAAGGGGGUGAAAAACCUCCUCGCCGGAAGACCAAGGGUUCCUGUCCAACGUUAAUCGGGGCAGGGUAAGUCGACCCCUAAGGCGAGGCCGAAAGGCGUAGUCGAUGGGAAACGGGUUAAUAUUCCCGUACUUCUUACAAUUGCGAUGGGGGGACGGAGAAGGCUAGGUGGGCCUGGCGACGGUUGUCCAGGUUCAAGUGCGUAGGCUUAAGAGUUAGGUAAAUCCGGCUCUUUUUAAGGCUGAGACACGACGUCGAGCACCUACGGGUGUGAAGUCAUUGAUGCCAUGCUUCCAGGAAAAGCCUCUAAGCUUCAGAUUGUAAGGAAUCGUACCCCAAACCG
rnacentral:rRNA from 1 species